UGCGUUGGUGGCACAUCUCCCUCUCUCGGGCGGUGUAAUCGCGCAUAUCAGUCAUUCGACAGUGCAGAUUGCUCAGCCCGCUAAUAGCGGGUUUUUUUAU
rnacentral:sRNA from 1 species